rnacentral:rRNA from 1 species
GACGAACGCUGGCGGCGUGCUUAACACAUGCAAGUCGAACGGAAAGGCCCCUUUGGGGGUACUCGAGUGGCGAACGGGUGAGUAACACGUGAGUAACCUGCCCUUAACUUAGGGAUAACUUCAUUAAACUGGGGCUAAUACCGGCUAGGAAUCCUUGCUGCAUGGAUGGUGUUGGAAAGCUUCGGCGGGUUUGGAUGGACUCACGGCCUAUCAGCUUGGUGGUGGGGUAGUGGCUUACCAAGGCUUUGACGGGUAGCCGGCCUGAGAGGGCGACCGGCCACAUUGGGACUGAGAUAAGGCCCAGAACCCUACGGGAGGCAGCAGGGGGGAAUAUUGCAAAAUGGGGGGGAGGCUGAUGGAGCAACGCCGCGUGGGGGAUGACGGCCUUCGGGUUGGAAACCGCUUUCAGCAGGGGAGGAGGUUGUGGUGACGGUACCUGGAGAAGAAGCACCGGCUAACUACGUG